GACGUAGGGCGCGAGCGUUGUCCGGAUUUAUUGGGCGUAAAGAGCUCGUAGGCGGCUUGUUGCGUCAGCUGUGAAAAACCCGCAGCUCAACUGUGGGCUUGCAGCUGAUACGGGCAGGCUUGAGUUCGGUAGGGGAGACUGGAAUUCCUGGUGUAGCGGUGAAAUGCGCAGAUAUCAGGAGGAACACCGGUGGCGAAGGCGGGUCUCUGGGCCGAAACUGACGCUGAGGAGCGAAAAGCGUGGGGAGCGAACAGG
rnacentral:rRNA from 1 species